AAGAGCAUAGACAGCAUCUAGAAGGGGAAGAAAGAUGUUUAUUAAGAUGAUCAAAAGGAACACAAAGGCAAAAGCUGACUUUCCAGACAUCGAGCUGGGGAUCAGGCCCCCAGCCUUUCUGCAAUUCUUUUCUUGUUCCAAGCCCUGUGAGAGAGAGUUCUUCCGUAAGAGACAGAGGGCUUCGUUAAAUCAAAUACUCUUGUCAAGCGUCGGUCGUUAAUUGUGAUGAACAACACAGAAAGUAUUUGCCCUCACCCCUACGGAAAGAACGUGAACGUGACAGAACUCAGUGUAAACGACCUGUUUUAGUGUGUGUGGCUUAGCUGUGGAAGAGCGAAACUCGCACAUGCUGAGGCAACUUCCACACUGCACUUCAGACUCUUCCGUUCCACUUAGUAACCGAAAGCAAACGAAAGGAAGAAUUUUAAAUCAGAGAAAUCAUCUCAAUGGCCGGUGUGUGGGUGUGAUUGCUGCAAACAAAUUGCCAGUCUUUUAACAGUUCACCAUUCCUGAAGGAUGGAAGCAGAGCGGCGCCCUUCUGAGGAAAACCUCUCGCAUAGAUUUUACUUUGUCGGUGCCCGAACAAAUCGUGUGCUAAGUUGGAGUAAUUCAGAAAUAUAAGAUACCUCCAUUGCCAGUCUUUGUAGGGCCAAGGAGCUGACACCCCUCUCUGGAAGACAGCAGAGAAUGCCCCUGGCCCUUCUAAUUGCUGAUUUACUGUGCUUUUCCCUGGGGCCGCAACCGAUGAUCUAUUGCUUUCUUACCCAAAUUAUCUCCGUGAUUGCCUGCCUUGUGGCUUUGGGGGGGGUAAGUCCCAGUUUUCCACAACCUUAUGGAGAACACAAAGCAUAUAACAUAAAAGAUGCCAGA